CUUAAAUAUAACAAAGGCGUCUAAAAUAUGAGAGGCCAAAAGGGAGGCAGGCUCGAUGUCGGUUUUCCUUCAACCCCCUUGUGUUCGCACAUGGCAAGAACAGAACGUCAUGGGGUGGACUGUCUCUCUGUGGGACUUGUCAACAGUAUGUCGUGCCCGCCUCGACCAGCAAGGAAGACACAACGCGCAGACUCUUCUUUAGGCAGUUUAUUCAGGAAGCCUUGAAUAAUCUUCUUCUCCCAGGUAGCGCCAAUCCACAGCUUAAAAGCCCUGGGCGGCCAACCCCAGUAUGCCACGUGGAACAUGCAGAUAGGUCCACGUAUGCGGAAGCAAGCCUGAUAUCCAGCCUUAACCAAAUACAGGUGUUGUUUAUGAUAGAGAGCACCUGCUAUAGGGCUAGCAGAAGGCGGAAGCCAGCACCAUCUUAAGGGUGCAGAACUUCGCAGCUCUCUACAUGAGUAGAUUUGAGACCCAUAGGAGUCUGAUCCAAAUGAGAACCAAGGCAGACACAGCUUGGCUUUCUACUGAGCCUGUGAAAGCCAAAGGCAGACAGAGGCCUCUUGUGGAGGAGACGAGGCUGACAGAACAGAAAGGUUUAUAAUUCGAGUCCUGCUGCAGUCAAAGUUGUCGUGAAGCGGUCUGUGGUCUGCGGUCUGCGUGGCGGGCAUUCCUGCAAAGACACCUUGGAACGCUGCAUAGGAUUAAUACAGAUGAAAAGUGUGUGUUUCUGACUCCUUUGCCUGCCCUUGGGACUCUUCUUAUUGGGUUGCCUCGUCCAGCCUUGAAAUGAGGUGCUCCCAGCCCCAUGAGUAUUUGUGUCCUGGCUUCUUAAAUGUCCGGAGGGAGACCUUGCUUUGUGGUGUGACUCUGUGUAGACAACAAUAACAAAAAGGACCAGUGAGAUUCAUUCUAGGACACUCCAAACAGCAAGGAAGAUUCUGAGAGCAGAUCAGCUGCCUGGGGGAAGCAGAAACCAGGAGAGUUGCCCAGAAGAGGUUAGGCCCCCUGGGAAAAAUGCUGUCCAACCUGUUGAGCUGCCUGCAGGCUGUGCAGCGUGCUCCGGAUGUAUCGCUUUUGUGAACUGUCACUCAUGCUGGGGUGGACUUUGGUGAUUCAACUGUCUGAGUAAUUUCUGCUUCUGGAAGUAACCCCUCUUUCAUAUUCUUGGGAGUAAACCCAAUAAAACUCAUUGGUUCACUGAA